CAUUUUCACUUAAAUGUAGACCUAACGCUACAACUAUUAAAUUAAAUAUUUUUCAGUUUUUGUUUUUGUUCCUCGAACCAGUUCAGAGCCCUGGUGCAGUCUGAUGUUUGAUCUGACGAUGCCAUGUUAUAUUUAUGACUUUUUGUUUUAUUUGUAGUGGCUAUGGCACUAUGGGAGUGUUCAAUUUAAAAAGAUGAAGAUUUGACCUGCUUUCCGAGUUCCAGAAUGGAGAUCUUACGACUGUCUGCAUUAUGAAAAGAGGACGUAAGGUCAUUUGUGGAUCCAGCGAAGGCAAAUUAUAGAUUUUUAACUGGAAUGCUUUGGUGCCACCAGCGACCGGUUUGUGGUUCAGGAGUCUGUGGACUGUAUAUUGUGCCAAUUACUGACAGCAUUCUGUGUUUCGCAUCCACCGACAGCGUCAACAGUGCUGCGCUUCAGAGUCUACAGAAGUUAAUUACAGCUACCAAAAAGGAGGCAGACUCCAGGGACGAGACUUUGACUGCCAAAGAGGUUAAAGCUGUUGUCCUGCUUGAGUGUUUGUCUGAGACUGACAUCUAGUAGACAUUUUAUCAUCAGGGUUCCCCAUUCCUCGUCCAGGAGAGCAACUUUAUAACAGGCAGAUGUGUCAAAACUAAACUCAGC
ensembl:lncRNA